UACAGAGGGUGCAAGCGUUGCUCGGAAUCAUUGGGCGUAAAGGGUAGGUAGGUGGUCUCGUUUGUCUGGGGUGAAAGCCCAGGGCUUAACCCUGGAAGUGCCCCGGAAACGGCGAGACUGGAGUCCUGGAGAGGGUCGUGGAAUUCCCGGUGUAGCGGUGAAAUGCGUAGAGAUCGGGAGGAAUACCUAUGGCGAAAGCAGGUAUCUGGGCCAUCACUGACGCUGAGCUGCGAAAGCUAGGGGAGCAAACAGG
rnacentral:rRNA from 1 species